CGUAGGAGGCGAGCGUUAUCCGGAUUCACUGGGCGUAAAGCGCGUGCAGGUGGCGCGGUAAGUUAGGCGUGAAAUCUCCCGGCUCAACUGGGAGAGGUCGUCUAAUACUACCGUGCUUGAGAGCAGAAGAGGAAGAUGGAAUUCCCGGUGUAGUGGUGAAAUGCGUAGAUAUCGGGAGGAACACCAGUGGCGAAGGCGAUCUUCUGGUCUGUUUCUGACACUCAGAUGCGACAGCUAGGGUAGUAAACGGGAUUAGAGACCCCGGUAAUCCUAGCCGUAAACGAUGUGAACUUGGCGUUGGUGGGUUAAACUCCAUCAGUGCCGUAGCAAACGCGAUAAGUUCACCGCCUGGGGACUACGGCCGCAAGGUUA
rnacentral:rRNA from 1 species